rnacentral:lncRNA from 1 species
GAACCAAAAUCAAACUCCACCUCCAUUUGAAAUUCCCUUAUUAGGAACAAAUCAUCACAUGAACAGGAGGAAGAAGUUGAAGGACAAUUUCCUGAAGUUACUAAACCAUGCCUUAAACUAUAAGCGAGCAGGUUUAAAAUAUUAAAUGGAAAGCAAUACAUGGCUCAAGUCUAUUAGACCCAAAAUCUAAACUAAUAUGCAUUUGGACCAUGGACAUGAAAAGCACAUCCACAACCAAACAGUUUUAGCUGAUCAACUAAGAGUCAUAGUCCUUAAUUAACAGACAUUAAGAAGCCUAAACAGCCUUGAAUCAACUACAUUCAAAUAAGCUCAAAUCUAAGCCUCAAAAAAGAAAUGAAACGCACAUAAGAAGCUAAACUAAAACAUGAAUAACAAGAUGGCCGAAUUUAACACAACAAAGACUGAUAUUUUCAUUUAAUCCCAACUCGGUCAAAAAUCUUUAUACAAAGCUUAAUCAGGCUUCAUUUCCAUCAUGGUUCAAGAGGAAACCUGGAAAAACUAAGAAUAUAAGAAGAGUGAAGGAUCAACAACAACAUAACAAUGUCAGCAACAAUGCAACAGUGAUAACUAGCUGAAACAUACGCAAGCUUCAAACCAAUUCCAACCAACUCAAAUCAAACUUCUAAACCCAAAUUCAAUCCAUUUUAGCCCAGAGUACAAAACUAUGAAGUUUGUAGUUAUUCCAAAUGAACUAUUAUGAUUACAGGAACCAAAGCCCAAGUAGAAGUUUCGAUAUUUUCUCAGAAAACUCCAGGAAUUCUAAGUUAUUUCAAAAUUUCUUCACGAAGCAAGUCGUUUCAGUUUUUGGAUGGUUUCUUUUCUCGCAAAAUCUGACUUGAAUAUAAAGUAAUGGUGCCUUUAUAGGCAAGAUAUUAGGGCAACCUAAAAGAAAUCAGAUUUGCACUUUGCAUCUUUUGAUAUUUUUAUUUUAGCUUAGGUACCAUUAAUGCAAAAUUCAGAACUUCAAUUUAGUCCCCACCAUAGUUUCCUAGGCAGUUACAAAAAGAUUCCUCUUAUUAAAUUUCUAAAUUAACCCUUUAAAAGCUUUGCAUUUACAUCAGCAAAAUCAUAUGUCAAAUUACCCCAAGCCCCACCCCAAACCCAUGGGUCUGUAUACUAACAACCCAAACUCACAAAAUUCAAACCAUUAAUCAACGAGUAAUGAGGCUCAAAUGAACAGGGUUGGCUAUGUCAAAAGAUGAAUGGAGGGGAAAGAAAUGAUUUUAGAGAACUUAAAUGAUUCGAUCAAAAACAACAAUAAUUAUAAACCAAACAAAUGAAUCAAACAAAAAAUUGAACAAUGACUUAAGAGAACUUGACCUUAAUUAUAUUCUCAAAUGCACUAUCGACCGGGGUCUGAAAAGAAAGGAAAAAUGACACAAAGGAAGAGAAACACGUACUGACUAACGGAGAAGCAUCUCUCAACAGAUUUGCUGGCCUUGGACUUGCAUGAGGUCGAUGGGCUUCGAAAUGAAUCGAAGUCCAUGCUAGUCACUCGUUCUCAAGGAGAAAAGUUGACUGGCAUAAACUUCGAACCAUUAUCGGCCCAGAAGCUUGAACUUGGCACAUGGAGCAAGAUUAGGGUUCAUGGGACUUGAAUCUUUGAUCUGACAUUUGACGAGCUAGGUUAUGAUUCGAGGGUAAAGGGUUGGAGUUUUGAGAUGGGGUGAUGGAUAGGGUUCUAGGGUGUGCAUUUUGCCAAGUUUGGUGGUGGUGCCGCCACCGGAGGACGGUGGAAUCAUAGGGCGGUGCUAGGGUUGGCCUGGGAGUCUCUAAGGAUGAAGUGAAUGAGAGAG